rnacentral:rRNA from 1 species
UGGGGAAUUUUGGACAAUGGGGGCAACCCUGAUCCAGCAACGCCGCGUGAAUGAAGAAGGCCUUCGGGUUGUAAAGUUCUUUUAUUUGGGAGCAAACCUUAUGCCUGAAUAGGGUAUGAGACUGAGAGUACCAAAGGAAUAAGCACCGGCUAACUACGUGCCAGCAGCCGCGGUAAUACGUAGGGUGCGAGCGUUAAUCGGAAUUACUGGGCGUAAAGGGUGCGUAGGCGGAUAUAUAAGUUAGAUGUGAAAAACCUGGGCUCAACCUAGGUCGUGCAUUUAAGACUGUAUGUCUAGAGUUUGUAAGAGGGGGGUAGAAUUCCAAGUGUAGCAGUGAAAUGCGUAGAGAUUUGGAGGAAUACCGAUGGCGAAGGCAGCCCCCUGGUAUAGAACUGACGCUGAGGCACGAAAGCGUGGGUAGCAAACAGG